CAUAGCUAGUGGUGGGUGACGGAUUGCAAGUAUUGUACGGGAUUACUGGAUUUCCCGUGCCGUUGAGCAGUUCCAGGAAAGAGCCCCCACAUUGAGCCGUACCCGAAACCGACACAGGUGGGAAGGUAGAGUAUACCAAGGCGUUGAGAGAACUAUGGUUAAGGAACUCGGCAAAUUACACGCGUAACUUCGGGAUAAGCGUGCCCGGUUGCUAGGCAACUAGUGGCCGGGGGCACAUAAGAGGGGGUGGCGACUGUUUAUCAAAAACACAGGUCUCUGCUAAAUCACAAGAUGAUGUAUAGGGACUGACGCCUGCCCGGUGCUGGAAGGUUAAGAAAAGCUGUUAACGCAGUGGAUUGAAGCCCCAGUAAACGGCGGCCGUAACUAUAACGGUCCUAAGGUAGCGAAAUUCCUUGUCGGGUAAGUUCCGACCCGCAUGAAUGGCGUAACGAUCUCCCCACUGUCUCAACCAUAGACUCAGCGAAAUAGAAUUCCUCGUGAAGAUGCGGGGUACCCGCGGCUAGACGGAAAGACCCUAUGAACCUUUACUGUAGUUUCGCAGUGGGCUUAGGAAGUGUUUGUGCAGCAUAGGUAGGAGCCGUUGAAGCGUAGGCGUCAGCUUACGUGGAGGCAAAGGUGAGAUACUACCCUGACACUUCUUGAGUUCUAACCGAGCGCCGAACCGGCGCCGGGACCCUGCGUGAUGGGCAGUUUGACUGGGGCGGUCGCCUCCCAAAGAGUAACGGAGGCGCUCGAAGUUCGGCUCAUGACGGUUGGAAACCGUCAGUUGAGUGUAAUGGCAAAAGCCGGACUGACUGUAAGAGGGACACCUCGAGCAGGUGGGAAACCAGGACAUAGUGAUCCGGUGGUGCCGCAUGGAAGGGCCAUCGCAAACGGAUAAAAGGUACUCUAGGGAUAACAGGCUGAUCGCAUCCAAGCGUCCAUAGCGACGAUGCGGUUUGGCACCUCGAUGUCGACUCAUCACAUCCUGGGGCUGGAGCAGGUCCCAAGGGUUCGGCUGUUCGCCGAUUAAAGUGGUACGUGAGUUGGGUUCAAAACGUCGUGAGACAGUUUGGUCCCUAUCUACCGUGGGUGUAGGAGUGUUGAGAAGAGUUGCCCUUAGUACGAGAGGACCGGGGCGAACACAUCUCUGGUGUAUCUGUUGUGGCGCCAGCCGCAUUGCAGAGUAGCUAUAUGUGGACGGGAUAACCGCUGAAAGCAUCUAAGCGGGAAGCCUCCUUCAAAACAAGCACUCCCCAUUAAGGCCGUCGUAGACUACGACGUUGAUAGGUUGCGUGUGUAAGGCCAGCAAUGGUUUAAGCUAAGCAAUACUAAUGGCCUGAUCGA
rnacentral:rRNA from 1 species